ACAGCAGCAGCCGCGGUAAUACGGAGGGUGCAAGCGUUAUCCGGAAUCAUUGGGUUUAAAGGGUCCGUAGGCGGUCUUGUAAGUCAGUGGUGAAAGCCCAUCGCUCAACGGUGGAACGGCCAUUGAUACUGCAGGACUUGAAUUAUUGGGAAGUAACUAGAAUAUGUAGUGUAGCGGUGAAAUGCUUAGAGAUUACAUGGAAUACCAAUUGCGAAGGCAGGUUACUACCAAUUGAUUGACGCUGAUGGACGAAAGCGUGGGUAGCGAACAGGAUUAGAUACCCGCGUAGUCCCUGUCUCUUAUAC
rnacentral:rRNA from 1 species